UGGGGAAUAUUGGACAAUGGGCGCAAGCCUGAUCCAGCAAUGCCGCGUGAGUGAGGAAGGCCUUAGGGUUGUAAAGCUCUUUCACCCGCGACGAUGAUGACGGUAGCGGGAGAAGAAGCCCCGGCUAACUUCGUGCCAGCAGCCGCGGUAAUACGAAGGGGGCGAGCGUUGUUCGGAUUUACUGGGCGUAAAGGGCGCGCAGGCGGCUCGUUUUGUCAGGCGUGAAAGCCCCGGGCUUAACCUGGGAACU
rnacentral:rRNA from 1 species